AGUGAACGCUGGCGGCAGGCCUAACACAUGCAAGUCGAACGGCAGCACAGGAGAGCUUGCUCUCUGGGUGGCGAGUGGCGGACGGGUGAGGAUAGCGUCGGAAUCUGCCUAUUUGUGGGGGAUAACCUCGGGAAACCGGGACUAAUACCGCAUACGACCUACGGGUGAAAGCGGAGGACCUUCGGGCUUCGCGCAGAUAGUUGAGCCGACGUCGGAUUAGCUAGUUGGCGGGGUAAUGGCCCACCAAGGCGACGAUCCGUAGCUGGUCUGAGGGGAUGAUCAGCCACACUGGAACUGAGACACGGUCCAGACUCCUACGGGAGGCAGCAGUGGGGAAUAUUGGACAAUGGGCGCAAGCCUGAUCCAGCCAUGCCGCGUGGGUGAAGAAGGCCUUCGGGUUGUAAAGCCCUUUUGUUGGGAAAGAAAAGCAGCCGGUUAAUACCCGGUUGUCAUGACGGUACCCAAAGAAUAAGCACCGGCUAACUUCGUGCCAGCCGCCGCCGUAA
rnacentral:rRNA from 1 species